AACGCACCUUGCGCUCCUUGGUAUUCCGAGGAGCAUGCCUGUUUGAGAGUCAUUAAAUUCUCAACUCUCUAGCGGUUGUCAUGACCGCUGGUAGAGCUUGGAUGUGAGGGUUUUGCCGGCUCCUUGCAGAGUCUGGCUCCCUUGAAAAAUAUUAGCGCAGCUUUGCACUGUCUGCUACAGGUGUGAUAAUCUAUCUACUCCUGAUUAGUGACGCGCAUGAAUAGAGCUAUGUGCUUCUAAUCGUCUCCGGACAAUUUUUUGAACUUGACCUCAAAUCAGGUAGGACUACCCGCUGAACUUAA
rnacentral:misc_RNA from 1 species